GAAGCCCACACCUGAGGAGCAUGCAGAAUCACACCUGUGGUCUUUCUGCUCUAGUGUAGCAAAGAGACAUCAGGUUACAUAGGCUUUAUACGCAGGAGAGGCUUUAUACACAGCUCAUGCUGUACAAUUUAGUAUUUCCACACAGUGGGCAAAGAUAAACCCCCAGGGCCUACGGAAGAAUGUAGAAAACGCAGCUGGUCUUGAACCCUCAGGCAAGGUAGACCAGGCACAAGGACAAGAAGAAGAGGAAAACUUUGGGGAAAUGUUGCUGGCAGCCUGCCUUAGAGACACUGCUUUUUAUUUCACAGGGACUGAUGCCGACACCAAGUCCAUAUCAAUGUUGGGAGCACCCAGCUGACACGGUCAAAACAAGUUCAAAUGUGGAUGUUCAACAACCUCUGCAUAUUGGAGUCGUCAAAAAUCAAGAUUUGAACUUUGUGAUUUAGAGUUCAGAUCUGCUCAGGCUACAUACACAGGAUAUUUAAGAUCUCCCCACAACCUGUGUCACAGCAAACACAAGAUUUCAAAUCAAGAGAAAAAAGUAAAACCAGUUCUCUACAACUUGUUGAGCAGUAAGCACAGAAAUUAACGAGCUAACAGUGCCUUUCUCAGGUCUCAUCUUCUGACUCAGACUCAACCAUGCGCUCCCUAGCUACGUGCAAGGACAUACUGGUACAUAUCCUCUUACAUGACCUUGCUCUUCCUGCUAUAUAAAAACCUGUCUAAAAAAGCAAAUCAAAUGGGCUGACCUCAGAUUUUCAUGCAUCUUUUAAUCAUUUCUCAGCAGCAAAAUCAUAAAGCAACUACAUUUUAUGCUGUGGCAUCUGGUGAGGUGGGAACAAAAGGAAACUCUAAGUCUCAAUGUAUAGUUUGUUUUCUGCAGAAAGGAAAUGAUACCAUUUAUCUUUGCCUUUCCCAUCUGUGUCCAGGAAGCACACGUGUGCCAUUAGAGCAUACACGGAUACAAUCAGAGUACAGCAACAUCAACAGAAAUUGCCUCUCUGUUCUGCAGGUAACCUUUCAUCAUUCAUAUGAGCAGAGAAAUACAGUGAACUAAGGUCACAGAAAUCUCUUUAAAAAGGAUGUCUGAGGAACAUUUGUACGAAGAAGUUAUUCAAAAGUGUCAAAUGAAAUUCAAAUGAAAUUGAAAACAAGACUACUAAUAAAACCAAGAACUGUGUACUCACAUGCUGUAAGAUUUUAAUUUAUUUUCACUAUCCAGGCUGUGUGAGCUGUGACAAAGAUGGGUGAAAAGUUACCUUUUAAUCAGUAAGAUUCAAUCACUGGUCAU